AACUGUUUUAAUGAAAUGCAUGUUUCAGAGAGUUUAACUAACUUUUGGAUUCAAUGAUUUAACGAUUCCGCAACUUAUUGAACAUCGUAAUACAAUUCAACAAAUCAAAGACAGACCGUAUGAAUCAGCAAAGAUAGUAGAAUUAAUUUUUAAAAUAUCAAUUUGAAGGGCUCUUUGGGUAAAUCAGUGGCAUUUGAUCAAUUGAGUUAAACGAUCGUUUUUUUUUCAUUGCCUUAGGCAGCUUCAAAUACCGGCGAAAAACUACGCAAAUAUACCACCUUCAAAGAUGCCACUAAGACGCGCGAAUUCACAGACAAAUCCAUGCUGAUCAAGUUCAUUCUGGAUAACCACUGGCACAUCUACAUCGAGGCGCCUCCUGGUUUCGGCAGAACCACGAACCUGCGGAUGCUCCGGGAGUUCUUCUCCGUGGAGGUCGACUCAGACGGAUUCUUUGUCAACGCGAAAAAGAUACUACAGAGUGACGAAGCCUUCCAGGAUAUUUUACGGAGACGUAAAAGAACAUCUGCGGAACAUUCUCGGAACACCUCAACAGAACGUGUAUCUUUCGAAACUGCCACCGAAAGCAUAUCUGUCCUCGUGAAUGACCCGGAGUCUUUGAGCGCCUCCACAAACGCUUUGACAAACUACGAUACCUUCUCGAAGCCGCCCCUAAGAAUACUGAAAGAAUCACCGGAGUUGUUCGAGACCCACUUCGCUCGGCAUCCUGUCCUCUUCAUCGAUUUGGAAAACUAUCGACGAAGUCCUACGACGACUUCGUACGCACUUUUCAAAUAAUGGUCUCGAAGCUCUUCGAUCAAUCUAAAUACUUACUAAAAAGUCACAGGCUGACCAAGGGCAAUAAGGAUGAAUAUUUACGCUUUCGUGACCAAGUUAUGAAACUGGGCUUAAACGAGGUCGCGCACGGAGGAGAGAAAUUGAGUCAACUCUUGUCAGCACAUCAUCACCGAAAAGCGAUAGUUUUAGUGGACAACUUUGACGCACCCAUUUGUAAGGCCCUCUUGGCGCCACAUCUUGACCUAAAAAGCUACAGGGGGAUUGUGUGGAGUAUUUCCCGGAUGAUCAAAGGACUAGUAAAAAGUAGGUUCGUCCAUCGGACCGUGGUGACAGGCAGUCUCCGAAUCGAAAUUACAGAUGGAUUGAUGCAUUUUCCCAUCUUUGAUGACAAAUCUUUACAUCGGUAUUACGGGCUCACUGAUUAUGAUGUUUUAGAACUUGCUAAACGCUCUGGACAGACGAAUAUCGCAAACAUCAGGAAGUGGUAUGGUGGCUACAAAACAGCAAGCAAAGGUCGUGAUAUCUACAACACACGCUCAACAAUGAGCUACUUCAAGACAGGUGUGCUUAAGCCUUACCGAUUUGAGUCCAUCAAAUUCAAAUCCUUAAAAACCCUUCUAGAUUUUAAAAAAUUAGGUCGAGACGUGGAAGAUGCUUUCGAAGAUAAAACGCGGCUCCUCAUCCGACCGAAUAUUCUGCAGAGUCUUUUCGACCUACUGAGACGAACGAUAUUUUCCUCGAAUCAAACCGUCCUUCAUAGGAGUCUGGUCCUACAGAUUCUCCUCGACUAUGGCUUUUAUACCAUUCAAGAUGGAAAUACACUCCACGUGCCGAACUUCGAAGCAACGCUGAACAUAAAAAACUUAAUAUUCGACCGUGGAUACUACAUCAACAAACUAAACAUCCCUGACCAGAUUAUUGACAACUUUGUGCAGAACAUCGAACGCCUGACUGAAGAGAAAACGUCUUUUGACAACUUUUUUGCAGCGGUCACAGAACUCUUCAAAAACCGCGUGCCACAAGGUACACGAGAAUUGGCGCACACCUUGGUCACUUUAGUGGCUGAUGCUCGCAAGUUUAGCUUGUUACGUAGUCAAGAAACUCCGGAAAAUGACCGGCAGGAUAUCCUAGUGAAGCUAUCUUCGGAAACGGGAAUUGUGAUCGGGGUCCUGGUUGGGUCGAUUAAUGCAGAAGCGCUAAAACCUGUUUUUAACAAGAGUUUACAAGUGUUUCCAGACUGUAAAUUGAGAGUUGCCAUCUUGUUAGGUUUAAAACCGCAAGGAGCGACCGGAGAUCUGGACAUUUUGUACGCAUUUGACAAUCGAACUGUUACAAUGGACACAAAAAAUCAGUGAGAGGCAACGCCCUACUCCGCCUCGGUCUAUAAUUUUUUGAAUAAUGUAAGUGGCAACGUCGCAGUAAUCAGCGCGGUAGAAAUUGAUUUUGGGAGGUAGUAAACACUUGGCCCGUAGACAUGGCUUCAAACUUUGUGAAAAUAAAAAGCUCAAUGUCCUGAGGAGAUUUUUAAGAACACCUGGAUUUUGAUUAGCACGGCGGCUACAUCAGAGACCCUCAAAAAACUAAAACAUCACAGAAAAAGAAAACAAUAGUGACGAAAAUCGCUCUGGUGAUGGAAGUUAAAAUGCUUUCUUGAAAUUCAUUGCUCUGGGACUUACAAGCUUUGAAUCAAUUCAAAUCUCACGCAAGGAGAGUUUGUAACAGUUAGCGAGAUUGUUUGUUCAUUUAGGUCAGGUCUCUCUCCGGGCAAACCUGACUGCCGGCCAACAUGAAAAACUGCCCGCAUACGCGGUAAACUUGAAAAAGGGUGUUACAAACUACGCAAAUUGCGCGCGGAGUGGAUUUCAGACUUUUUUGAUAUGCCCAUCGUGAUUUUCGAGUGAAUUUACCCGAAAGUGUAAUCAAUCAGUUGGCUAUAUCUCUCGCAACAGACCCAUUUGAGAGGGAAGGGCGCACAAAUCGUUUUGUAUAAUUUUUGAGGAGUGUAGAUCUGUGUUUCCGGUGCGUUACAACGAGGCGGGAAUGCAAUGAAGACUGCAAUGAAAAUUAGAAUCUAAGAAGCGCCUUCAAAUGAAUGAGUAUACAUCAUAGCACAUCUAUCAAGAUGGUGGUAAAAUGCGUCAAAGUUCUUACAAUCGAAACUCGCGUUUAAGGUGAAUCUACAUGCGGUGCGUAGUGAGACAUUUUUCCGCGCAGGGAGCGCCACCGCUGGGUUUUGAUUUUUGGUCCUCGUAAUUAGAUGCCGUACAGCUCCACGUAAGUCCUUGAGCUUUUAUGAAAGUUAAAGGAAUUUCUGUUAAAAUCGAAGAGUCAUCAGUUCUAGCUAUAACAUUCUUCUUCCUAUUGACACUAUAAAAGACGUGAAAGUAAUAUCUGAAGCUCUGAAACUUAAUCCCAGAAGAAAGUAGGGUUAAGCAUGAUGACCUUGAUGCAACUAAUCACUAUGCAUGAGAUGACUCUCAGCAGUUGCAGAUCUCUCUCUCCCACCGUGAGCUAUCUCUCUCGCACUUACAGAUAUCCCAUAAGAGAAACUGGGAUCAAGUUAUAGCUUUUAAUAUUGAACUUUCAAAGCUCGCGUUUGUUUCUAAGCAUUCCAAAACUAUGCUGCUAGAACUUAUGAGUCUUAGAAUUUAAUAUAUCUAUUGUGAUAUUAAAAUAAUCACUGAUUUCGGAGCCGGAUUUUAGCAGCGCGACGUGGUGAAUUUUUCCGGAAAUACAGCUGAGGAUUAACCUUAAUGAGGCCUUAUUGGUUUCGGACCAUAGAAAAAUUCGUGCAUGAGUUUAUGUUAGUUUGUUUGGUUUGAGCUAAGAGUUCUAUAUUACAUCGAGUGACGUAGUCACAAAAUCAUUCUAUUGAAGGAAUUGCAAACAAGCCGAAUUUAGUAUGGUGUCGGCCUAGGAAUGUUAUAAUCCUUACUGUCACGAAAAUUCAUUUUUUAUCGAAAAUUAUUUAGAUCAGCAUCUGGUAAAAUUUGAAUAAUUUGGGACAAAAUCUUGAUUUCUUGAUUCCCUCUAAGGCCUUGGCUCCACGGGACGUUUCAUGGAAUCUGUCACGGGGGAAAAUCUCACUUGUGAAGUUGGGAAAAACAUUGGGCUAUUCAAUACUAAUCAUAGUACCAACUAAGAGUCCUUGUGGAGUCCCAGGAACGACUUAAAAAGAAGAAGAAGAAAUUUUGAUGUGUUGUUUAACGGCAAAAAAGCCCAAAAGUUUCAUUCCUGCGCCUCGAACUUGGGAAACAUCCCGUGAAACAUCCCGUGGAGACAAGGCCUAAGAAUUCAUGUGGCAAGAAGACUGGAACUAGAACGGUUAAGGUUUUGUUAUUAUCACCGCUGUUUAUCUAAAUUGAUAGGUAAUGAGGUUAAACACUGGUUGAAUGGGUGAGAUUGCAGUAAACAACAGAGUUCAGUGGCCUCGUGAAAGUUUUGUCUUGUGACGAGUGUUUGUUCUUCUAAGAUCAAUUUAAAAACCGACGGAUUUUUCCAAGAUAGGAAACUUCGCGAAAAAGCUAAACAACCUUUUUGUGAGUGAUGCUCGAGUUGCGAUGAAAUCGUUCAGUCAGUUCCAAGGAUCAGAUGCAAAACAAGAGACUUUUACUGAAGGGAUUAGA
rnacentral:lncRNA from 1 species